AAGGGUAUAGCUCAUGGGUAGUGUGCAUGCUUAGCAUGCAUGAGGUCCUGGGUUCAAUCCCCAGUACCUAUG
rnacentral:tRNA from 1 species